AGCUUUUCCCGCAAAAAGGUGAAAUAGCUAAAUGUUUCUUGAAAUAUUGUUGUAUGCACAUAGUAGUUACGCCAGCGAAAGCAACAGGAUGAAUAUAUUUCUACUACACUCUAAAAUCCUGCGAUAAUUUUAAUCAAUUGCCUUUGAAUUUCAUAAUGAGCGAUACAUAAACAUUUUACAAUGAAAAUAUAAACAGAGCAACUGAAACAGUUCAAAAUACCAUCUCUCUUAACUUUAACGGGUCCCCGUAAAUGCUGUAGAAAUAGGCAAGAACACAGCCCAACAAAGGGGGGAAGAGGUUCACUCAACAGUUUUAAGAAAUUGCUGACUUAGGGAGCAGUAACACUUAAAAGCAACUCACUAAUGAAAGAAGUUAUGCCUCACAAAAAUAUACAACACCUGUAACUCUUGCUGCUUUAAUAGCUCCAUGAGAUCGUCAGAAAUCAGAGCUAGAAUGCGGACGUCACAGAAGGUUGUAGACGAACCUUUACUAUAUAAAAGAAUACCUUGCGAUGGCAAUUGCUGCUUCUUGUACUCGUAUCUUCGAUCAUUAUUAACUUUGAAGGCAAGCAGCAUAACUCGUGCGAUAGUUAAUUUCUGCAGAUAUACACUUUUUUCAACUGACCACAAUAAUCAAAUGUCAUAUCAUUUCACUACCGAUCUAUUUUCUAAAAUACGUACUUAAGUAUUUAGACAAAACGAAAUGCUCAACUGUCUGCAGAAGCGGAAGAUACUGUCGUUGCGAAACACGGACCAUGAGCCUAUCACAAACAAGAUCGCUUACUAUGAACGAGAACAACAAACCAGCUACUGAAAUGAUAGGGAAAUGUGUGUUGCCAAUACUUACAUCGCUAACCAUGGACAGAUUAUGUGCAUGGUUGUAUUCAGUUGCAGAAACUACAAGUGGUCCGGAGCGUGACAUGAGUGCUUUUGUGAUGGCAUUGGAGGCUCUUAACUCUCUUCUUGAACAAUUAUUAACAAGUAGCAUGGCUGUGCACGAGGUUACCAGAUGAGCAGUUUCCAUUCACUAAAAUUGUAAUUUAUUGCUCGGAAAUA